rfam:Triticum aestivum genome assembly, contig: Triticum_aestivum_CS42_TGACv1_scaffold_469419_5DS
CAAGUACUCCCUCCGUCCGAAAAUACUUGUCAUCAAAAUGGAUAAAAAAGAUGUAUCUAGAACUAAUAUACAUCUAGAUACAUCCCGUUGUAUUCAUUUUGAUGACAAGUAUUUCCGGACGGAGGGAGUACUAC